rnacentral:rRNA from 1 species
AUUGAACGCUGGCGGCAGGCCUAACACAUGCAAGUCGAACGGUAGCACAGAGAGCUUGCUCUCGGGUGACGAGUGGCGGACGGGUGAGUAAUGUCUGGGAAACUGCCCGAUGGAGGGGGAUAACUACUGGAAACGGCAGCUAAUACCGCAUAACGUCGCAAGACCAAAGUGGGGGACCUUCGGGCCUCACACCAUCGGAUGUGCCCAGAUGGGAUUAGCUAGUAGGUGGGGUAAUGGCUCACCUAGGCGACGAUCCCUAGCUGGUCUGAGAGGAUGACCAGCCACACGGGAACUGAGACACGGUCCAGACUCCUACGGGAGGCAGCAGUGGGGAAUAUUGCACAAUGGGCGCAAGCCUGAUGCAGCCAUGCCGCGUGUAUGAAGAAGGCCUUCGGGUUGUAAAGUACUUUCAGCGGGGAGGAAGGCGGUGAAGUUAAUAACUUCACCGAUUGACGUUACCCGCAGAAGAAGCACCGGCUAACUCCGUGCCAGCCGCCGCAGUAA